rnacentral:rRNA from 1 species
CCUACGGGUGGUAGCAGUAGGGAAUCUUCCACAAUGGGCGAAAGCCUGAUGGAGCAACGCCGCGUGGGUGAAGAAGGUCUUCGGAUCGUAAAACCCUGUUGUUAGAGAAGAAAGUUCGUGAGAGUAUCUGUUCACGUUUCUACGGUAUCUAACCAGACAGCCUCGGCUAACUACGUGCCAGCAGCCGCGGUAAUACGUAGGUGGCAAGCGUUAUCCGGAUUUAUUGGGCGUAAAGGGAACGCAGGCGGUCUUUUAAGUCUGAUGUGAAAGGCUUCGGCUUAACCGGAGUAGUGCAUUGGAAACUGGGAGACUGGAGUGCAGAAGAGGAGAGUGGAACUCGAGGUGUAGCGGUGAAAUGCGUAGAUA